rnacentral:rRNA from 1 species
UGGCGGCGUGCCUAAUACAUGCAAGUCGAGCGGACAGAAGGGAGCCUGCUCCUGGAAGUCAGCGGCGGACGGGUGAGUAACACGUGGGCAACCUGCCCUGUAGACUGGGAUAACAUCGAGAAAUUCGGUGCUAAUACCGGAUAAUCCGAAGAAACCGCAUGGUUUCCUUUGUAAAAGAUGGCUCCGGCUAUCACUACGGGAUGGGCCCGCGGCGCAUUAGCUAGUGGUGGGGUAGAGGCUCACCAAGGCGACGAUGCGUAGCCGACUGAGAGGGUGAUCGGCCACACUGGGACUGAGACACGGCCCAGACUCCUACGGGAGGCAGCAGUAGGGAAUCUUCCGCAAUGGACGAAAGUCUGACGGAGCAACGCCGCGUGAGUGAUGAAGGUUUUCGGAUCGUAAAGCUCUGUUGUUAGGGAAGAACAAGUGCCAUUCAAAUAGGGUGGCACCUUGACGGUACCUAACCAGAAAGCCACGGCUAACUACGUGCCAGCAGCCGCGGUAAUACGUAGGUGGCAAGCGUUGUCCGGAAUUUAUUGGGCGUAAAGCGCGCGCAGGCGGUCUUUUAAGUCUGAUGUAGAAAGAUCCUGGGCUCAACCCCGAGAGGUCAUUGGAAACUGGGAGACUUGAGUACAGAAGAGGAGAGUGGAAUUCCACGUGUAGCGGUGAAAUGCGUAGAUAUGUGGAGGAACACCAGUGGCGAAGGCGCUCUCUGUUCUUAACUGACGGUGAGGCGCGAAAGCGUGGGAGCAAACAAGAUUAGAUACCCUGGUAGUCCACGCCGUAAACGAUGAGUGCUAGGUGUUAGGGGUUUCGAUGCCCUUAGUGCCGAAGUUAACACAUUAAGCAUUCCGCCUGGGGAGUACGCCGCAAGGGCUGAAACUCAAAGGAAUUGACGGGGGCCCGCACAAGCAGUGGAGCAUGUGGUUAAUUCGAAGCAACGCGAAGAACCUUACCAGGUCUUGACAUCCUUUGACCACCCUAGAGAUAGGGCUUUCCCCUUCGGGGGACAAAGUGACAGGUGGUGCAUGGUUGUCGUCAGCUCGUGUCGUGAGAUGUUGGGUUAAGUCCCGCAACGAGCGCAACCCUUGAUCUUAGUUGCCAGCAUUUAGUUGGGCACUCUAAGGUGACUGCCGGUGACAAACCGGAGGAAGGUGGGGAUGACGUCAAAUCAUCAUGCCCCUUAUGACCUGGGCUACACACGUGCUACAAUGGAUGGUACAAAGGGCAGCAAAACCGCGAGGUCGAGCCAAUCCCAUAAAGCCAUUCUCAGUUCGGAUUGUAGGCUGCAACUCGCCUACAUGAAGCCGGAAUUGCUAGUAAUCGCGGAUCAGCAUGCCGCGGUGAAUACGUUCCCGGGCCUUGUACACACCGCCCGUCACACCACGAGAGUUUGUAACACCCGAAGUCGGUGAGGUAACCUUUUGGAGCCAGCCGCCUAUGGUGGGAACAGAUGAUUGGGGUGAAGU